rnacentral:rRNA from 1 species
UACGAAGGGGGCUAGCGUUGCUCGGAAUCACUGGGCGUAAAGGGCGCGUAGGCGGCCGAUCAAGUCAGAUGUGAAAGUCCUGGGCUUAACCUGGGGACUGCAUUUGAUACUGAUUGGCUUGAAUUCGGGAGAGGAUAGCGGAAUUCCCAGUGUAGAGGUGAAAUUCGUAGAUAUCUGGAGGAACACCGGUGGCGAAGGCGGCAUCCUGGACCGGCAUUGACGCUGAGGCGCGAAAGCCAGGGGAGCAAACGGG